UGCGUCACAACUUGCUCUGCUGAAAUUACCGCACCAUAACCACGUCAUCUGCCCCAAUGAGCACAUCUACGGGCCGGAGAACCAGCGCAGAAAAGGAGUAAGUUUAAUUGGUCGCCAGAUGAAACGGUCUUCUUACAUCAAAUUCAUGAAAAAAUACGUACAAUCAGAGGGUGUUACGGGAAGAGUAUCACCCCUGAGGAUAAGAAGAGAGCGUGGACUGAAGUGGCAGAAGCUGUAACAAGUGCCUUCCCUGGGAGUGGACCCCGUACGCAGGAUGACUGUGAGAGGCGUUGGUACAACGUACAACAAAAAUCAAAGCCUCGCAUUGCCAAGUGCAAGAAUGAGCAGCGGCAGACUGCCCCGCUGCUGUAUUGCUAGAGACCAUCCCAGCACAUUGUUCAUUACUUGUGGAAAAUAUACCAUCAGCUGCUCCGGCAACAGCCACUGCUUCAUCAU